GCCGGGUGUGGUGGUGCACGCCUGUAGUCCCAGCUACUCGGGAGGCUGAGGCAGGAGAAUCACUUGAACCUGGAGGAAGAGGCUGCAGUGAGUCAAGAAUGGGCCACUGCACUGCCNNNNNNNNNNAGAUGGAGUCUUGCUCUGUCACCCAGGCUGUAGUGCAGUGGCGUGAUCUUGGCUCAUUGCAACCUCUGCCUCUCGGGUUCAAGUGAUUCUCCUGCCUCAA
rnacentral:SRP_RNA from 1 species